rnacentral:rRNA from 1 species
AGUGAACGCUGGCGGUAGGCCUAACACAUGCAAGUCGAACGGCAGCACAGAGGAGCUUGCUCCUUGGGUGGCGAGUGGCGGACGGGUGAGGAAUACAUCGGAAUCUACUCUGCCGUGGGGGAUAACGUAGGGAAACUUACGCUAAUACCGCAUACGACCUACGGGUGAAAGCAGGGGAUCUUCGGACCUUGCGCGAUUGAAUGAGCCGAUGUCGGAUUAGCUAGUUGGCGGGGUAAAGGCCCACCAAGGCGACGAUCCGUAGCUGGUCUGAGAGGAUGAUAGGCCACACUGGAACUGAGACACGGUCCAGACUCCUACGGGAGGCAGCAGUGGGGAAUAUUGGACAAUGGGCGCAAGCCUGAUCCAGCCAUACCGCGUGGGUGAAGAAGGCCUUCGGGUUGUAAAGCCCUUUUGUUGGGAAAGAAAUCCAUCUGGUUAAUACCCGGGUGGGAUGACGGUACCCAAAGAAUAAGCACCGGCUAACUUCGUGCCAGCCGCCGCCGUAA